AUUGAACGCUGGCGGCAUGCCUUACACAUGCAAGUCGAACGGCAGCACGGGGCAACCUGGUGGCGAGUGGCGAACGGGUGAGUAAUGCAUCGGAACGUACCUUUCAGUGGGGGAUAACGUAGCGAAAGUUACGCUAAUACCGCAUAUUCUGUGAGCAGGAAAGCAGGGGAUCGCAAGACCUUGCGCUGAUUGAGCGGCCGAGGUCAGAUUAGCUAGUUGGUGAGGUAAAGGCUCACCAAGGCGACGAUCGGUAGCGGGUCUGAGAGGAUGAUCCGCCACACUGGAACUGAGACACGGUCCAGACUCCUACGGGAGGCAGCAGUGGGGAAUUUUGGACAAUGGGGGCAACCCUGAUCCAGCCAUGCCGCGUGAGUGAAGAAGGCCUUCGGGUUGUAAAGCUCUUUCGGCCGGGAAGAAAUCGCACGGGCUAAUACCCUGUGUGGAUGACGGUACCGGAAUAAGAAGCACCGGCUAACUACGUGCCAGCCGCCGCCGUAAGAC
rnacentral:rRNA from 1 species